rnacentral:piRNA from 1 species
GAAAUAGGUGCUGCCUCUUGUGAA